UGAAUGCACCAGAUCCUGUCUGAUUUUGGAAGUUAAGCA
rnacentral:rRNA from 1 species